GGAGGGUUGCGAUAAUGGUAUUCGGCUGGUUUCGAAAACCAGUGGGAGAAAUCCCUUGCAGGUUCGAGUCCUGCACCCUCCGCCG
rnacentral:tRNA from 4 species